CCCCCAGACUCCUACGGGAGGCAGCAGUGGGGAAUAUUGCACAAUGGGGGAAACCCUGAUGCAGCGACGCCGCGUGAGCGAUGAAGUAUUUCGGUCUGUAAAGCUCUAUCAGCAGGGAAGAAAAUGACGGUACCUGACUAAGAAGCCCCGGCUAACUAUGUGCCAGCAGCCGCGGUAAUACGUAGGGGGCAAGCGUUAUCCGGAUUUACUGGGUGUAAAGGGAGCGUAGACGGCGGUGCAAGCCAGAUGUGAAAGCCCGGGGCCCAACCCCGGGACUGCAUUUGGAACUGUGCUGCUAGAGUGUCGGAGAGGCAGGCGGAAUUCCUAGUGUAGCGGUGAAAUGCGUAGAUAUUAGGAGGAACACCAGUGGCGAAGGCGGCCUGCUGGACGAUGACUGACGUUGAGGCUCGAAAGCGUGGGGAGCAAACAGGAUUAGAUACCCUCGUACUA
rnacentral:rRNA from 1 species